rnacentral:rRNA from 1 species
AGAGUUUGAUCCUGGCUCAGGAUGAACGCUAGCUACAGGCUUAACACACGCAAGUCGAGGGGCAGCAUGGUCUUAGCUUGCUAAGGCUGAUGGCGACCGGCGCACGGGUGAGUAACGCGUAUCCAACCUUCCCCAUAGUAGGGGAUAGCCCGGCGAAAGUCGGAUUAAUACCCUAUGUUAUUCGAUGCAGACAUCUAAGUUGAAUCAAAGGUUUACCGCUAUGGGAUGGGGAUGCGUCUGAUUAGGUUGCAGGCGGGGUAACGGCCCACCUGGCCUACGAUCAGUAGGGGUUCUGAGAGGAAGGUCCCCCCACAUUGGAACUGAGACACGGUCCAAACUCCUACGGGAGGCAGCAGUGAGGAAUAUUGGUCAAUGGGCGAGAGCCUGAACCAGCCAAGUAGCGUGCAGGAUGACGGCCCUAUGGGUUGUAAACUGCUUUUAUGCGGGGAUAAAGUGAGGGACGUGUCCCUUUUUGUAGGUACCGCAUGAAUAAGGACCGGCUAAUUCCGUGCCAGCAGCCGC